UACGGAGGGUGCAAGCGUUAUCCGGAUUCACUGGGUUUAAAGGGCGUGCAGGCGGGCUGGUAAGUCAGUGGUGAAAGCCUUGAGCUUAACUCGAGAACUGCCAUUGAUACUAUCAGUCUUGAAUAUUGUUGAGGUUUGCGGAAUGGGUCAUGUAGCGGUGAAAUGCAUAGAUAUGACCCGGAACACCUAUUGCGAAGGCAGCAGGCUAAACAAAGAUUGACGCUGAGGCUCGAAAGCGUGGGGAUCAAACAGG
rnacentral:rRNA from 1 species